UACGGAGGGAGCUAGCGUUAAUCGGAAUUACUGGGCGUAAAGCGCAUGUAGGUGGAGCAAUAAGUUUGAUGUGAAAUCCCUGGGCUUAACCUGGGAAUGGCGUUGAAGACUGUUGUUCUAGAGUUUGACAGAGGGUCGUGGAAUUUCCGGUGUAGCGGUGAAAUGCGUAGAGAUCGGAAAGAACACCAGUGGCGAAGGCGGCGACCUGGGUCUAAACUGACACUGAGGUGCGAAAGCGUGGGGAGCAAACAGG
rnacentral:rRNA from 1 species